rnacentral:tRNA from 1 species
GGUGACUCAGUGGUAGAGCACUUGCCUUGCAUGCAUGAAGCCCUGGGUUCGAUUCCUCAGCACCA